GCUGACUUCACAAAAAGGAGGGUGGUUUUCAGUAAGUCUAUGUCAAGAAUCUAAUGCCAUGGACAUUAUAAGCAUAAUCUGUAUUUUUUUCUACUUGGGAAGAUGUUGGGGACAGAAGCAAACAUAUAUUGUCACAGCACCUAAAGUGUUCUAUGUUGGAGCCUCUGAAAAUG